rnacentral:rRNA from 1 species
AGAGUUUGAUCCUGGCUCAGGAUGAACGCUGGCGGCGUGCUUAACACAUGCAAGUCGAGCGAAGCAGUUAAGAAGAUUCUUCGGAUGAUUCUUAACUGACUGAGCGGCGGACGGGUGAGUAACGCGUGGGUGACCUGCCCCAUACCGGGGGAUAACAGCUGGAAACGGCUGCUAAUACCGCAUAAGCGCACAGAGCUGCAUGGCUCGGUGUGAAAAACUCCGGUGGUAUGGGAUGGGCCCGCGUCUGAUUAGGCAGUUGGCGGGGUAACGGCCCACCAAACCGACGAUCAGUAGCCGGCCUGAGAGGGCGACCGGCCACAUUGGGACUGAGACACGGCCCAAACUCCUACGGGAGGCAGCAGUGGGGAAUAUUGCACAAUGGGGGAAACCCUGAUGCAGCGACGCCGCGUGAGCGAAGAAGUAUUUCGGUAUGUAAAGCUCUAUCAGCAGGGAAGAUAAUGACGGUACCUGACUAAGAAGCCCCGGCUAACUACGUGCCAGCAGCCGCGGUAAUACGUAGGGGGCAAGCGUUAUCCGGAUUUACUGGGUGUAAAGGGAGCGUAGACGGCAAGGCAAGUCUGAUGUGAAAACCCAGGGCUUAACCCUGGGACUGCAUUGGAAAACUGUCUGGCUCGAGUGCCGGAGAGGUAAGCGGAAUUCCUAGUGUAGCGGUGAAAUGCGUAGAUAUUAGGAAGAACACCAGUGGCGAAGGCGAUUCUCUGGACUGUAACUGACGCUGAGGCUCGAAAGCGUGGGGAGCAAACAGGAUUAGAUACCCUGGUAGUUCACGCCGUAAACGAUGAAUACUAGGUGUAGGGGUUGUCAUGACCUCUGUGCCGCCGCUAACGCAUUAAGUAUUCCGCCUGGGGAGUACGGUCGCAAGAUUAAAACUCAAAGGAAUUGACGGGGGCCCGCACAAGCAGUGGAGUAUGUGGUUUAAUUCGACGCAACGCGAAGAACCUUACCAGGUCUUGACAUCGAGUGACCGCCUAAGAGAUUAGGCUUUCCCUUCGGGGACACAAAGACAGGUGGUGCAUGGUUGUCGUCAGCUCGUGUCGUGAGAUGUUGGGUUAAGUCCCGCAACGAGCGCAACCCUUAUCAUUAGUUGCUACGCAAGAGCACUCUAAUGAGACUGCCGUUGACAAAACGGAGGAAGGUGGGGAUGACGUCAAAUCAUCAUGCCCCUUAUGAUUUGGGCUACACACGUGCUACAAUGGCGUAAACAAAGAGAAGCAAGACCGCGAGGUGGAGCAAAACUCAGAAACAACGUCCCAGUUCGGACUGCAGGCUGCAACUCGCCUGCACGAAGUCGGAAUUGCUAGUAAUCGUGGAUCAGCAUGCCACGGUGAAUACGUUCCCGGGCCUUGUACUCACCGCCCGUCA